GUUGGAACCUCUGAGGAAGGGAGAAGAGUUGGAGGCUGACCUAAUCACCAAUGACAGCUGGUCCUCCAGGUGUGAGGACAGAGGUCUGGCACAGAGAGAGGAGGUCGCAGCAACCCUCCCCAUGUCCGCGAGAUCUAGGGAGUCUAUCUGAGACAUCUAACCGGUCGUUCAGUUUGGCGGGGACCAACCAGCUACACCGAGAGGCUGCAAGAGGAUGGACCAGAUGCCAGGGAUUCCUGUGGGACCUGCGGAUGACCUUCGAGGAUUCCAUACAUUCCUUGAAGCCGCGUGCGAGAUUGUCAGGAAUGGGCCUAUCUAGAUUUUUCUAUGGAGAGGCCCUGAAAUUUCAUCAACUUCUCAAAGACUCAUGAAUUAUCACAGUCUUGUGUGCAAGGCAGACUGAACGUUGAGAAGACGUGAAGCGCAACGCCAGCCUCCAGUUACCAUCCUUGACAGGUGGGGAAAAGGCUGUGGAUGCCACCCGAGGAGCCAGUGUGGUUGUGUCAGGUGGCGAG
rnacentral:lncRNA from 1 species